AACGAACGCUGGCGGCAUGCCUAACACAUGCAAGUCGAACGAGACCUUCGCGUCUAGUGGCGCACGGGUGCGUAACGCGUGGGAACCUGCCCUUAGGUUCGGAAUAACUCCCCGAAAGGGGUGCUAAUACCGGAUAAUGUCUUCGGACCAAAGAUUUAUCGCCUUUGGAUGGGCCCGCGUUGGAUUAGCUAGUUGGUAGGGUAAAAGCCUACCAAGGCGACGAUCCAUAGCUGGUCUGAGAGGAUGAUCAGCCACACUGGGACUGAGACACGGCCCAGACUCCUACGGGAGGCAGCAGUGGGGAAUAUUGGAAAAUGGGCGAAAGCCUGAUCCAGCAAUGCCGCGUGAGUGAUGAAGGCCUUAGGGUUGUAAAGCUCUUUUACCCGGGAUGAUAAUGACAGUACCGGGAGAAUAAGCUCCGGCUAACUCCGUG
rnacentral:rRNA from 1 species